CCUACGGGUGGCAGCAGUCGAGAAUCAUUCACAAUGGGGGAAACCCUGAUGGUGCGACGCCGCGUGGGGGAAUGCAGGUCUUCGGAUUGUAAACCCCUGUCAUGUGGGAGCAAAUUAAAAAGAUAGUACCACAAGAGGAAGAGCCGGCUAACUCUGUGCCAGCAGCCGCGGUAAUACAGAGGUCUCAAGCGUUGUUCGGAAUCACUGGGCGUAAAGCGUGCGUAGGCUGUUUCGUAAGUCGUGUGUGAAAGGCGCGGGCUCAACCCGCGGAGGGCAGCUGAUACUGCGAUACUAGAGUAAUGGAGAGGGAAGCGGAAUGCGCGGUGUAGCAGUGAAAUGCGUAGAUAUCGAGAAGAACACUCGUGGCGAAGGCAGGUUCCUGGACAUUAACUGACGCUGAGGCACGAAGGUCAGGGGAGCGAAAGGGAUUAGAUACCCGUGUAGUC
rnacentral:rRNA from 1 species